GGGAGGGGGAGGGGUGGGCGGCCGAAAGCCAACUGUUUGUACUGAAUGGCGAGAAUGUUCUAGUAAAUGUGUACCAAAAUGUGAACUACUUUGUACGAAUACAGUCUCCACGUCGACCUAACAGAAUAUUAUUGAUAUUAAUGUGCUUUUUUUUGUAUAAAGUGCAAACAUUUUCGUCCCAAAGUCUGAGUACUUUAGUGCAGUAAAAUGUUGUUUCAUGUCCUGUCAACAAUUCGUAUAGUAUGAGCCCGGAUCUUACGUGUCACACUGUUCCAUUUGUUUAUGUAAAGUGAUAUUAAAAAAGAUAUAAACUAUAGCUGUCCAUUGCUUUUGGCAAAAUAUACAACCACGCAAUGUAUAUAAUUCCUAGUUUCCAUAUUUAUCCGCAUGUAAAGGGCCCGGUUUAUCCAUGUUACAGCUAUUCAAUAUUUAUGGCUAGAAAAAAAAAAACUCUUAUGUACACUUUAGUUUCCAGAACUGUUUGGUAAUCUUUCGUACCUUAUUAAAGAUUCUUAAAUCUCAGUGAUUGUGGUAGGAAUUUCUUCUUCACACCCCUCCCCCCCCCAGCAACCUGUGCCAGCCUUAGUGGAUCUUCGGGAAAGCUCUCCAGCCUCUCUUCCCUUCUUUUCUGUCAUUGCAGGUCAUAUAAACUUGAUAAAUGAACGCUACCCUGCUGGCUCUCCGAGAGGGUGUAAUUAGUAUUUAUAUCAAAAUUUAUGAAACAAAUUUUCGGCCUCAGUAUAAUUUAAAUGACCUUUGCAGACAUAGAAUAACAACCAUAAAAAUAACGGAAAUAGAUUGCACAGGCAACAUCAAUAUUAAUGUAAGCGAAUUGUGAGAAGCUCGGGGGCUCUCUCUGUAGCCUUGCAAAUGAACUUGCAGUCAUUCAAGGGUUCAGCUUAACCCCCUCCCCAAUUAAAUCCCCUGGUCUGAAACUGGAUUGUAGAUUUACAAUAUUAUAUUUUAAAUUGCUGUCUUCAAUUAAACCAUUAUGGCCAUAACUAAUUUUCAGGAUGCCGAUGCAUGCUUUUCCAGGCCUUCCAUCUUUGUACAAAAGUAAAUGUCCAUAAAGCGUUUCACUUAUAUUUUUCAAACAUGAUGCUAAUUUAAAUUAAUUACUUCCUAUGAUAUAUUAUUAUUCCUAUAAUUUUGCUACUGCCAUUAGUUCUCUCAAAAAUACAUCUAGAAAACAGAAUUAUUUUAUGUAAUGUGAUUAUCUUUCUAUCUCUUUUAUUUAUUUCUCAUUUACUUAAGAAAUUCGUUCCAUUGGCUGGCGUUGAUACAGUAAAUUUGUAAAUGAGGAGACAAUAUAAAAAAUCUAAAUUACUUGUGCUUAAUGACUGUGGCAGAACGCCCUUUCUCUAAAUCAGAUUGUCUUUCUUGCAGUUUAGUUUGAUAGAUUUGCAAGCUAUGCUGCUUCGGCGAAGUUAGGUUCUCUGGUAGGGACGCUGGUUUCUUUGUCUCUGGUUGUCGCUUGCAUGAUCGCCCCAUUAGGCAGACAACGUAGCUAGAACUCACAAAUCAGGCCCUUGGCUAUGCCUGCAAGGGUAUGGAUGAGUUAGAAGUCAGGGGAAGCAUGGCUCUGCUCUUAACUGUCCUCUGUGUGUCCCGGAAGUUACAGGCCUAAGAACAAGAACCUCUUAAGUGCUUAACAUGUGUUUCACAGCAAUAGCAACUUAAGAAAUUAUAUCACUGGCUAAUUAAAAAAUAAAAAUAUUACACUCUUUAGAACCACCUCUUGCUAUUUGUACUUCUAAUGUUUAGUCAACAAAGUCUUAUUUAUAGAUAAAAGGCUUUGCUGCUUUUAUAAUAUAUCAUGUGAUUUUUUAAAUAGAAAAGGGUGAGAAUACUGAUGUUUAAAUGUAAAAACAAAGUUGUUCUGUUUAUAAUAACAAUAUUGGCCUUUUGAGAAAAGAGCGCCACCUUGCAAAAUUUGUUGAGAUUUUAAAAAGUUGAAUACCUAAGCAAGAAUUGCUGUAACUAAAAAUUUGUGAGAUUAAAACCCUGGUCUCAGUAGCCUGGAAAGUUUAAGAUUGAUUAAUAGUAUAGUAUUUAAACUGACAUCAGACACUGAGCCCAACAUUAAACACAGAAAGAGAAAUAGAAAUAACUCAUCUUCCUAGAAAUAAUAACAGGGAUAAAACAAUAAUAAUCUCUCCCCCUUUUUGUUAAAGAUGAGAUUUUUGGGGCAGAACUUGAUGUGAAUAUGAUGGUAGUUUUAACAGCAGUUUUGUGAUUUUUGUCAGAGUAUUUAAGAUGACGGCAUAUUUGACUAUUUCUAAAUUAAGUUUACUUCAAAUGUGAAAUUCUGUCUGAUUGUUAUGUACCCAAUGCCCUUUUGCUUUAAAAGCAUAGUGUAAUAAUUAAAUAUCACACUAUGACAAAUGAUUUAUACAGACUAUUUUAAAAAUACAUUUUAGAAGUACAUUUUUUUCAAAUUUCAAAUAUUCAUGUAGAUUUCUUAAGGUCAAAUAAUUCUAUUGCCACUUGAGAAGGCCUCUGUAUGUAUGUAUGAAUAAUCUCACACAGCAAAGGAACUUUUAUAAUAGAAGACAAUAUUUAUGCCAAUCCCCUCUUUGCAUUGUUUCCUCCAAUGCCCACCACAAAGAGAAAGUCAUUAAUGAUGUAAGUCACCAAAAUAAUGCUUUAAACUUAAAUGUAGUCUAUUAUUUUGCUGGCACCUUUAAUGUCUGCUUCUUGAGAUGUAUUCUUCAUACUUUUCUUCAUGGGCUAUUAGGUUUUGAAAUACAUGAAUGUGAACAGAGAAAUAUAUUGUUAGACUCUAUUUAGCAGGAGCUGAAGAUGCUGCAAAUGGCUGGUUUCUAUAUGCAGUUGUGGAUUUUGAUCUAGGCAGAAGGCCUUACUGGUUCAUAUUGCAUACUGCAUUGUAUUCUGGGUACUACCAAAUGAUUAGGACAGCUAACAAGUUAUUAAAAUGUUAUUUUGUGUCAACAGAAA
ensembl:lncRNA